rnacentral:rRNA from 1 species
AACGCGAAGAACCUUACCAGGUCUUGACAUCCUCUGACACUCCUAGAGAUAGGACGUUCCCCUUCGGGGGACAGAGUGACAGGUGGUGCAUGGUUGUCGUCAGCUCGUGUCGUGAGAUGUUGGGUUAAGUCCCGCAACGAGCGCAACCCUUGAUCUUAGUUGCCAGCAUUUAGUUGGGCACUCUAAGGUGACUGCCGGUGACAAACCGGAGGAAGGUGGGGAUGACGUCAAAUCAUCAUGCCCCUUAUGACCUGGGCUACACACGUGCUACAAUGGAUGGUACAAAGGGCUGCAAAACCGCGAGGUCGAGCCAAUCCCAUAAAAACCAUUCUCAGUUCGGAUUGUAGGCUGCAACUCGCCUACAUGAAGCUGGAAUCGCUAGUAAUCGUGGAUCAGCAUGCCACGGUGAAUACGUUCCCGGGCCUUGUA